GCACAACACCUCGGCGAUUUGAUCUCGAGUGACCGCAAGUUGCAAUUGAUCCCAAUUGAAUGGCGUCGUGUGUCGGAGGUGAUAAAAAGAGUUGAUUGCGUAGGCACACCAAUCGACCUUCUUGCCUCGCACCGUGCUCGAGUUCCGAUCCGUUGUGAGGAGGAUAUGGUUGUUGGCGUAGAACUCGCGGACCAAUGAUAGGUUGAUCGAACUCUCCGGUUC
rnacentral:lncRNA from 1 species